CGAGUGAAGCGGUAAAAGCUCAAAUUUGAAAUCUGGUACUUUCAGUGCCCGAGUUGUAAUUUGUAGAAUUUGUCUUUGAUUAGGUCCUUGUCUAUGUUCCUUGGAACAGGACGUCAUAGAGGGUGAGAAUCCCGUUUGGCGAGGAUACCUUUUCUCUGUAAGACUUUUUCGAAGAGUCGAGUUGUUUGGGAAUGCAGCUCAAAGUGGGUGGUAAAUUCCAUCUAAAGCUAAAUAUUGGCGAGAGACCGAUAGCGAACAAGUACAGUGAUGGAAAGAUGAAAAGAACUUUGAAAAGAGAGUGAAAAAGUACGUGAAAUUGUUGAAAGGGAAGGGCAUUUGAUCAGACAUGGUGUUUUUUGCAUGCACUCGCCUCUCGUGGGCUUGGGCCUCUCAAAAAUUUCACUGGGCCAACAUCAAUUCUGGCAGCAGGAUAAAUCAUUAAGAAUGUAGCUACUUCGGUAGUGUUAUAGCUUUUUGGAAUACUGUUAGCCGGGAUUGAGGACUGCGCUUCGGCAAGGAUGUUGGCAUAAUGGUUAAAUGCCGCCCGUCU
rnacentral:rRNA from 1 species